UACGGGGGGGGCAAGCGUUGUUCGGAAUUACUGGGCGUAAAGGGCUCGUAGGCGGCCAACUAAGUCAUACGUGAAAUCCCUCGGCUUAACCGGGGAACUGCGUCUGAUACUGGAUGGCUUGAGAUUGGGAGAGGGAUGCGGAAUUCCUGGUGUAGCGGUGAAAUGCGCAGAUAUCAGGAGGAACACCAAUUGCGAAGGCAGCUCGCUGGGACGUAACUGACGCUGAGACGCGAAAGCGUGGGGAGCAAACAGG
rnacentral:rRNA from 1 species